GGGGGCGCCUGGGUGGCUCAGUUGGUUAAGCGUCCGACUUCAGCUCAGGUCAUGAUCUCACGGUUCAUGAGUUUGAUCCCCACGUCGGGCUCGCUGCUGUCCCAGCUUGGGGCCCACUUCGAAUCCUCUAGCCCCCUUUCUCUCUACCCUUUCCCUGCUCAGGCUCUCUCUCUCUC